AAGAAACUAACAAGGAUUCCCCUAGUAACUGCGAGUGAAGCGGGAAAAGCUCAAAUUUAAAAUCUGGCGGUCUUUGGCCGUCCGAGUUGUAGUCUGGAGAAGUGCUUUCCGCGCUGGACCGUGUAUAAGUCUCUUGGAACAGAGCGUCAUAGAGGGUGAGAAUCCCGUCUUUGACACGGACUACCAGUGCUUUGUGAUGCGCUCUCAAAGAGUCGAGUUGUUUGGGAAUGCAGCUCAAAAUGGGUGGUGAAUUCCAUCUAAAGCUAAAUAUUGGCGAGAGACCGAUAGCGAACAAGUACCGUGAGGGAAAGAUGAAAAGCACUUUGGAAAGAGAGUUAAACAGUACGUGAAAUUGCUGAAAGGGAAACGCUUGAAGUCAGUCGCGUUGUCCGGAACUCAGCCUUGCUUUCGCUUGGUGCACUUUCCGGAUGACGGGUCAGCAUCGAUUUUGACCGUCGGAAAAGGGCUGGAGUAAUGUGGCACCUCCGGGUGUGUUAUAGACUCUGGUCGCAUACGACGGCUGGGAUCGAGGAACGCAGCGCGCCGCAAGGCAGGGGUUCGCCCACUUUCGCGCUUAGGAUGCUGGCAUAAUGGCUUUAAACGACCCG
rnacentral:rRNA from 1 species